rnacentral:rRNA from 1 species
UACGAAGGGGGCUAGCGUUGCUCGGAAUUACUGGGCGUAAAGGGCGCGUAGGCGGACAGUUUAGUCAGAGGUGAAAGCCCAGGGCUCAACCUUGGAAUUGCCUUUGAUACUGGCUGUCUUGAGUUCGGGAGAGGUGAGUGGAAUGCCGAGUGUAGAGGUGAAAUUCGUAGAUAUUCGGCGGAACACCAGUGGCGAAGGCGACUCACUGGCCCGAUACUGACGCUCAGGCGCGAAAGCGUGGGGAGCAAACAGG